rnacentral:misc_RNA from 1 species
GAUGAAGAACGCAGCGAAAUGCGAUACGUAAUGUGAAUUGCAGAAUUCAGUGAAUCAUCGAGUCUUUGAACGCACAUUGCGCCCCCUGGUAUUCCGGGGGGCAUGCCUGUCCGAGCGUCAUUGCUGCCCUCAAGCACGGCUUGUGUGUUGGGCCUCCGUCCUCCUCCCGGGGGCGGGCCCGAAAGGCAGCGGCGGCACCGCGUCCGGUCCUCGAGCGUAUGGGGCUUCGUCACCCGCUCUUGUAGGCCCGGCCGGCGCUUGCCGACACAUCAAUCUUUUUUCCAGGUUGACCUCGGAUCAGGUAGGGAUACCCGCUGAACUUAAGCAUAUCAAUAAGCGGAGGA